UACGUAGGUGGCAAGCGUUAUCCGGAAUUACUGGGCGUAAAGCGCACGCAGGCGGCUCUUUAAGUUUGACGUGAAAGCUCCUGGCUUAACUGGGAGAGGUCGUUGAAGACUGGAGAGCUUGAGGCAAUGAGAGGGGUGUAGAAUUCCCGGUGUAGUGGUGGAAUGCGUAGAUAUCGGGAGGAAUACCAGUGGCGAAAGCGGCACCCUGGCAUUGGCCUGACGCUCAUGUGCGAAAGCGUGGGGAGCGAACGGG
rnacentral:rRNA from 1 species